rnacentral:rRNA from 1 species
CUUGGUCAUUUAGAGGAAGUAAAAGUCGUAACAAGGUUUCCGUAGGUGAACCUGCGGAAGGAUCAUUAUUGAAGCAACCUUUGGAGUGCGGACGUGACGCUGGCCCUUCGCGGGGCAUGUGCUCCGUCCGCCUUCGAUAUCCGCUCAACCCCUACUGUGCACUUUACCGGGCAGCGUCUCGAGAAAUCGAGGCGCCGUCUUCACACAAACCACUUAGAAAAGUAUUAGAAUGUCGUUUGAGAAUUGAGGAAAUAAAUACAACUUUCAACAACGGAUCUCUUGGCUCUCGCAUCGAUGAAGAACGCAGCGAAAUGCGAUAAGUAAUGUGAAUUGCAGAAUUCAGUGAAUCAUCGAAUCUUUGAACGCACCUUGCGCUCCGAGGAAUUCCGAGGAGCAUGCCUGUUUGAGUGUCUUGAAAUUCUCAACCCUUUGAGCUUGUCACCGAGCUCUUUGGCGUUGGACUUGGAGGUCUGUCGGCGCCUGACGUCGGCUCCUCUGGAAUGCAUUAGUGGGGGCUUGUGCCCGACCCAGUAGCGGUGUAAUAGUUAUUACCACUGCGAACGCGUUGGACCUUUCCCUGCUUCUAACCGUCCGCAAGGACAAUCUCUUCACUCUUUGACCUCAAAUCAGGUAGGACUACCCGCUGAACUUAAGCAUAUCAAUAAGCGGAGGAAAAGAAACUAACAAGGAUUCCCCUAGUAACUGCGAGUGAAGCGGGAAGAGCUCAAAUUUAAAAUCUGGCGGCUAUGCCGUCCGAGUUGUAAUCUGGAGAAGCGUUUUCUGCGUUGGACCGUGUACAAGUCUCUUGGAAUGGAGCGUCAUAGAGGGUGAGAAUCCCGUCUUUGACACGGAUCGCCAACGCUUUGUGAUACGCUCUCAACGAGUCGAGUUGUUUGGGAAUGCAGCUCAAAAUGGGUGGUAAAUUCCAUCUAAAGCUAAAUAUUGGCGAGAGACCGAUAGCGAACAAGUACCGUGAGGGAAAGAUGAAAAGCACUUUGGAAAGAGAGUUAAACAGUACGUGAAAUUGUUGAAAGGGAAACGCUUGAAGUCAGUCGCGUUGUCCGGAACUCAGCCUUGCUUCUGCUUGGUGUACUUUCUGGUCGACGGGUCAACAUCGGUUUUGGUCGGCGGAUAAGGGCUUGGGGAAUGUGGCACCUCCGGGUGUGUUAUAGCCCCUUGUCGCAUACGCUGGCUGGGACUGAGGUCUGCAGCGCGCUCCGGUGUGCUUUAGGAUGUUGGCAUAAUGGCUUUAAGCGACCCGUCUUGAAACACGGACC